CCAGACUCCUACGGGAGGCAGCAGUGGGGGAUAUUGCACAAUGGGGGAAACCCUGAUGCGGCGACGCCGCGUGGGCGAAGAAGUAUUUCGGUAUGUAAAGCCCUAUCAGCAGGGAAGAAGAAAUGACGGUACCUGAGUAAGAAGCACCGGCUAAAUACGUGCCAGCAGCCGCGGUAAUACGUAUGGUGCAAGCGUUAUCCGGAUUUACUGGGUGUAAAGGGAGCGCAGGCGGCACGGCAAGCCUGAUGUGAAAGCCCGCGGCCCAACCGCGGGACUGCAUUGGGAACUACCGGGCUGGAGUGCCGGAGAGGUAGGCGGAAUUCCUAGUGUAGCGGUGAAAUGCGUAGAUAUCAGGAGGAACACCGGCGGCGAAGGCGGCCUGCUGGACCGUGACUGACGUUGAGGCUCGAGAGCGUGGGGAGCAAACAGGAUUAGAUACCCGAGUAG
rnacentral:rRNA from 1 species